rnacentral:rRNA from 1 species
GAUGAACGCUGGCGGCGUGCCUAAUACAUGCAAGUCGAGCGAACAGACGAGGAGCUUGCUCCUCUGACGUUAGCGGCGGACGGGUGAGUAACACGUGGAUAACCUACCUAUAAGACUGGGAUAACUUCGGGAAACCGGAGCUAAUACCGGAUAAUAUAUUGAACCACAAGGUUCAAUAGUGAAAGAUGGUAUUGCUGUCACUUAUAGAUGGAUCCGCGCCGCUUGAGCUAGUUGGUAAGGUAACGGCUUACCAAGGCAACGAUGCGUACCCGACCUGAGAGGGUGAUCGGCCACUCUGGAACUGAGACACGGCCCAGACUCCUACGGGGGGCAGCAGUAGGGAAUCUGCCGCUAUGCGCGAGAGCUUGACGGAGCAACGCCGCGAGAGUGAUGAAGGUCUGCGGAGCGUAAAACUCUGUUAUUAGGAAGAACAAAUGUGUAAGUAACUAUGCACGUCUUGACGGUACCUAAUCAGAAAGCCACGGCUAACUACGUG